rnacentral:rRNA from 1 species
UAACAACGACUCUCGGCAACGGAUAUCUCGGCUCUCGCAUCGAUGAAGAACGUAGCGAAAUGCGAUACUUGGUGUGAAUUGCAGAAUCCCGUGAACCAUCGAGUCUUUGAACGCAAGUUGCGCCUGAAGCCAUCCGGCCAAGGGCACGUCUGCCUGGGCGUCACACACC